UAGGGCUUCUCAGAGAAUUCCUUGCUUCACUUACAAUGGACGCUUCAGUCAUCUACAUGCGCAGCGUUUCCAUUUCACUACCUUUCUUCGUAAGGUACAAGCCACUGAAGCUCGAGCUUCGCUUAAUCGUGGCGGCAGUAGUAGUAACAGCAGCUCUCAGGGUAACACUCUUUUGUUGCCUGGUGCAACAGUCGCAACUAUAGUUAUGCUUGGUCUUCUCCAUGCUCGACGUCUCUAUGAUGAUCAGAAGAUUGAAGACGCAAGAGAGAAAGGAAUUUUAGAAUUCCAGCCUGAUGUAAAGGCUACUUUCAUGAGAUUACUUCCUCUACGCUCCAUCUCUAGAUUCUGGGGUACCUUGACCAAUGUGGUAAGUCUCUAUCAAUUUUAAAUAACAGA
rnacentral:misc_RNA from 1 species